rnacentral:rRNA from 1 species
GAGUUUGAUCGUGGCUCAGAGCGAACGCUGGCGGCAGGCCUAACACAUGCAAGUCGAGCGCCCCGCAAGGGGAGCGGCAGACGGGAGAGUAACACGUGGGAACGUACCCUUCAGUUCGGAACAAUCAAGGGAAACUUUGGCUAAUACCGAAUACGUCCGUAAGGAGAAAGAUUUAUCGCUGAAGGAUCGGCCCGCGUCUGAUUAGCUAGUUGGUGGGGUAACGGCCCACCAAGGCGACGAUCAGUAGCUGGUCUGAGAGGAUGAUCAGCCUCACUGGGACUGAGACACGGCCCAGACUCCUACGGGAGGCAGCAGUGGGGAAUAUUGGACAAUGGGCGAAAGCCUGAUCCAGCAAUGCCGCGUGAGUGAUGAAGGCCUUAGGGUUGUAAAGCUCUUUUUA